GUUAUUUAAUAUUAUAAAUAGAUUUUGACUAUAUUUGAUUACGGAUCAAAGAGAAUAUUAAUAUGU
rnacentral:tRNA from 1 species